rfam:Microsporidia sp. TGP3 contig-2, whole genome shotgun sequence.
GCUCCCAUAGCUCAGUUGGUUAGAGCGUGGUGCUAAUAACGCCAAGGCCGCUGGUUCGACCCCAGCUGGGAGCA